AGGGACUUAGGUUAACAUUUAGAUCGAGGGCCUUCAAAGCCCCAGGCGGGAGUGAAAAUCUCCCAGACCCUG
rnacentral:tRNA from 1 species